rnacentral:misc_RNA from 2 species
CCGAGUUAUCAAACUCCCAAACCCCUGUGAACAUACCUGAACGUUGCCUCGGCGGGACCGCCCCGGCGCCCUCGCGGCCCGGAACCAGGCGCCCGCCGGAGGACCCCAAACUCUCGGUUUGAUCAGUGGCAUCCUCUGAGUCUCACAAAUAAAUAAAUCA